rnacentral:rRNA from 1 species
AGUGAACGCUGGCGGUAGGCCUAACACAUGCAAGUCGAACGGCAGCACAGUAAGAGCUUGCUCUUACGGGUGGCGAGUGGCGGACGGGUGAGGAAUACAUCGGAAUCUACUUUUUCGUGGGGGAUAACGUAGGGAAACUUACGCUAAUACCGCAUACGACCUACGGGUGAAAGCAGGGGAUCUUCGGACCUUGCGCGAUUGAAUGAGCCGAUGUCGGAUUAGCUAGUUGGCGGGGUAAAGGCCCACCAAGGCGACGAUCCGUAGCUGGUCUGAGAGGAUGAUCAGCCACACUGGAACUGAGACACGGUCCAGACUCCUACGGGAGGCAGCAGUGGGGAAUAUUGGACAAUGGGCACAAGCCUGAUUCAGCCAUACCGCGUGGGUGAAGAAGGCCUUCGGGUUGUAAAGCCCUUUUGUUGGGAAAGAAAAGCAGCAGGUUAAUACCCCGCUGUUCUGACGGUACCCAAAGAAUAAGCACCGGCUAACUUCGUG